AUGCAGCGACGCCGCGUGAGGGAUGACGGCCUUCGGGUUGUAAACCUCUUUCAGUAGGGAAGAAGCGAAAGUGACGGUACCUGCAGAAGAAGCACCGGCUAACUACGUGCCAGCAGCCGCGGUAAUACGUAGGGUGCGAGCGUUAUCCGGRAUUAUUGGGCGUAAAGAGCUCGUAGGCGGUUUGUCGCGUCUGUCGUGAAAGUCCGGGGCUUAACCCCGGAUCUGCGGUGGGUACGGGCAGACUAGAGUGCAGUAGGGGAGACUGGAAUUCCUGGUGUAGCGGUGGAAUGCGCAGAUAUCAGGAGGAACACCGAUGGCGAAGGCAGGUCUCUGGGCUGUAACUGACGCUGAGGAGCGAAAGCAUGGGGAGCGAACAGGAUUAGAUACCCUGGUAGUCCAUGCCGUAAACGUUGGGCACUAGGUGUGGGGACCAUUCCACGGUUUCCGCGCCGCAGCUAACGCAUUAAGUGCCCCGCCUGGGGAGUACGGCCGCAAGGCUAAAACUCAAAGGAAUUGACGGGGGCCCGCACAAGCGGCGGAGCAUGCGGAUUAAUUCGAUGCAACGCGAAGAACCUUACCAAGGCUUGACAUGUUCUCGAUCGCCGUAGAGAUACGGUUUCCCCUUUGGGGCGGGUUCACAGGUGGUGCAUGGUUGUCGUCAGCUCGUGUCGUGAGAUGUUGGGUUAAGUC
rnacentral:rRNA from 1 species